CUUCUACUCCCUCCAUCCAACAAAGGAUGUCUCAACUUUGACCAAAUUUGAAUGCAUCUAUACACUAAGUCAUGUCUAGAUACAUCCAAAUUUUAACAAACUUGAGACAUCUUUUGUUGGACAGAGGGAGUACAUC
rnacentral:pre_miRNA from 1 species